GAUGAACGCUGGCGGCGUGCCUAAUACAUGCAAGUCGAGCGAACGGACGAGAAGCUUGCUUCUCUGAUGUUAGCGGCGGACGGGUGAGUAACACGUGGAUAACCUACCUAUAAGACUGGGAUAACUUCGGGAAACCGGAGCUAAUACCGGAUAAUAUUUUGAACCGCAUGGUUCAAAAGUGAAAGACGGUCUUGCUGUCACUUAUAGAUGGAUCCGCGCUGCAUUAGCUAGUUGGUAAGGUAACGGCUUACCAAGGCAACGAUGCAUAGCCGACCUGAGAGGGUGAUCGGCCACACUGGAACUGAGACACGGUCCAGACUCCUACGGGAGGAAGCAGUAGGGAAUCUUACGCGAUGGGCGAAAGCCUGACGGAGCAACGCCGCGUGAGUGAUGAAGGUCUUCGGAUCGGAAAACUCUGUUAUUAGGGAAGAACAUAUGUGUAAGUAACUGUGCACAUCUUGACGGUACCUAAUCAGAAAGCCACGGCUAACUACGUG
rnacentral:rRNA from 1 species